rnacentral:rRNA from 1 species
AUCGAACGCUGGCGGCAGGCCUAACACAUGCAAGUCGAGCGAGCGGCGGACGGGUGAGUAAUGUAUGGGGAUCUGGCCGAUAGAGGGGGGUAACUACUGGAAACGGUGGCUAAUACCGCAUACUAUCGGAUGGACCCAUAUGGGAUUAGCUAGUAGGUGGGGUAAAGGCUCACCUAGGCGACGAUCUCUAGCUGGUCUGAGAGGAUGAUCAGCCACACUGGGACUGAGACACGGCCCAGACUCCUACGGGAGGCAGCAGUGGGGAAUAUUCGACAAUGGACGAAAGUCUGACGGAGCCACGCCGCGUGAAUGAAGAAGGUCUUCGGGUUGUAAAGUUCUGUUGGCGGAGAGGCGUUACCCACAGAAGAAGCACCGGCUAACUCCGUGCCAGCAGCCGCGGUAAUAC